rnacentral:lncRNA from 1 species
UACCAGCUGGUUUUUGAUCCUGAAGAAAUUGGGUCUGCUAUCAGCAGCCUGGGGUGAUGGGCGGUCUGCUCCGAGGCUACAGUUUGCUGGGGUUCAGCUGGGCCAGAGACAUGUUAGGAUAACUGGUAAUGACCAAGGAUGCAAUCGAUGA